AGUGAACGCUGGCGGUAGGCCUAACACAUGCGAGUCGAACGGCAGCACAGUAAGAGCUUGCUCUUACGGGUAGCGAGUGGCGGACGGGUGAGGAAUACAUCGGAAUCUACUUUUUCGUGGGGGAUAACGUAGGGAAACUUACGCUAAUACCGCAUACGACCUACGGGUGAAAGCAGGGGAUCUUCGGACCUUGCGCGAUUGAAUGAGCCGAUGUCGGAUUAGCUAGUUGGCGGGGUAAAGGCCCACCAAGGCGACGAUCCGUAGCUGGUCUGAGAGGAUGAUCAGCCACACUGGAACUGAGACACGGUCCAGACUCCUACGGGAGGCAGCAGUGGGGAAUAUUGGACAAUGGGCGCAAGCCUGAUCCAGCCAUACCGCGUGGGUGAAGAAGGCCUUCGGGUUGUAAAGCCCUUUUGUUGGGAAAGAAAAGCAGCAGGUUAAUACCCCGCUGUUCUGACGGUACCCAAAGAAUAAGCACCGGCUAACUUCGUG
rnacentral:rRNA from 1 species